UACGGAGGGGGCUAGCGUUGUUCGGAAUUACUGGGCGUAAAGCGCACGUAGGCGGCUUUGUAAGUUAGAGGUGAAAGCCCGGGGCUCAACUCCGGAAUUGCCUUUGAGACUGCAUCGCUAGAAUUGUGGAGAGGUAAGUGGAAUUCCGAGUGUAGAGGUGAAAUUCGUAGAUAUUCGGAAGAACACCAGUGGCGAAGGCGACUUACUGGACAGAUAUUGACGCUGAGGUGCGAAAGCGUGGGGAGCAAACAGG
rnacentral:rRNA from 1 species